rnacentral:piRNA from 1 species
ACGCGAUCCCAAGAAGACUUUUCCCGC